rnacentral:rRNA from 1 species
UACAUGGGGUGCAAACGUUGCUCGGAAUCAUUGGGCGUAAAGCGCGCGUAGGCGGUUACACAAGUUGGAUGUGAAAGCCCUCGGCUUAACUGAGGAAGUGCAUCCAAAACUGUGCAGCUAGAGUACUAAAGAGGGUCGCGGAAUUCCCGGUGUAGAGGUGAAAUUCGUAGAUAUCGGGAGGAACACCGGUGGCGAAGGCGGCGACCUGGGUAGAUACUGACGCUGAGGCGCGAAAGCGUGGGGAGCAAAUAGG